GGAAGUCUCCAUGGCUCAGUGGUAGAGCCCAUGCUUUGCGGGCGAAAGGAUCCUGUUUCAAUUCCUGGGAUCUCCA